rnacentral:rRNA from 1 species
UACGAAGGGGGGCUAGCGUUGCUCGGAAUCACUGGGCGUAAAGCGCACGUAGGCGGAUCUUUAAGUCAGGGGUGAAAUCCCAAGGCUCAACCUUGGAACUGCCUUUGAUACUGGGGGAUCUCGAGUCCGGAAGAGGUUGGUGGAACUGCGAGUGUAGAGGUGAAAUUCGUAGAUAUUUCGCAAGGAACGACCAGUCGGCGGAAGGCGGAGCCAACGUCGGAUC